CAGAGGCUGAGGUCACCACCGUACCCGUCAGGCCGUGGCUAGAGAGGGGUCGGGGCUCGCCGGGACUCACCGACAGCUCGCUGGAAACGAGGCAUGUGGAAAUUGGGCCUCGCUGAGGCGCACAUAAGGCCCGGGCCGCGGGUAGACCGUGGGCGCUGAGGCCCUGCGCUGCCCAGCCCCCAAGUUCGCAUUGGGGGCUUCAUCCCGUUAUAUCCUAAAGCGGCCCCAGAGCCCUGCCUCGAACCCACUCACCUGCCGCCUCUGAAAGCCACUCACUUUCCGCCGCUGCGUUGCGGAAAAUCACCCUCCAGGGACCUUCCUUGCCCGCCCUGGGUUUCCGCAGCCGCCAGCCUUCGAUCGACUUUCCUACCCGCCGUGGACCCUCCUUGGGUUAUUUCGAGCUGUGGGGACCCACUGGGAACCCCAGAGUGGAUGUGAAGGUUAUUUUAAACUGAAGGCAUUUGAGACCCAACAGAUGUAAAAAGCAGCUUUGUCAGAGCUUUCCAUAUCUGAGAGCGAAGCCCGAAGUUGAACCAGGACAUUCAGUACCUAAAACAUGUGAAAUCUCUUGGGCCCCCGGAAUCACUAAGGAAAACUCAGGCUGGAAGCUGCUCAGGGCAAACCUGCCUCCCGCUCUAUUCAGAGUCACCCUCUGCUCGCUGAGAUAGAUGGAUAUCUGACUGACUCCUUUGAAAAGGCUCAUCAGAAGGCUGGGCGCGGUGGCGCACAUUGAGACCAGGAGUUCGAGACCAGCCUGGCCAACACGGUCUCCCUGAAGCUCAUUUGCAACUUGGAUGCACCUCAGGCCCAUCAGAGCGCCUCCUCCCCUGGCAGCAGCUGAGCCAGGAACUUCAGAGACCCCUGGACACCACAUUCCGGUACCGGAGAGCCGGGAGAAGCAGGAGGGGUGACAAGAGCCCAUGUGCUGGGCACUACCCGCCUUGCCCUGCAGGGCCUGAGGCUGUGGAGCUAAAGCAGUUUAGUUCUGAGGCCACCCCCAGAUAGGCCUGUGAGCCUCUGUCCUCCCUGGUGGCCCUGAGCCUGUGUGCACGGCUGGGGUGGGAGUGGCCGGAGGAGGGGUGGAGAGAGGCCAGAGGGGACCACGGCUGAAGGGAGCAGCUGCCUAGUGUUGGGGGACCGCAGGAGGGGUGUGGCUGAGCCUCGCUCCGAUGCCCGCCUGCUGUCCACACUCACGCCUGGACACUGCCCACCUGCAGCCGCUGCACCAGGCCCACCCCCCCAGCAGGGCCCGUGGUGUUCACUGUAGUCCUGGCCCACUACCCUGCCCUGGGAGAUGGCCCCUGCGCCCACCCCUCCCCUGCCUCUCCAGCAGGGGCUCUCCCAGCCCCCCACCCACCUCUGUGCCUUGGCACUCACACUGAAAGGGCCUCUUCUGUGGGCAUGCUGUGCCUUCCGGAACCCCGGGCUGGCCUGCUUUGCCCAUUCCCGAAAUCCAAUCCUGGCUCUCGCUCCUGCCCAUGCCUCUACCCCAAGCUCAUGUCCACCCAGCGGCCCCCCGCACAGCCACCCGUGGGGUGCUGCCCUUAUGGGUCCUGGAGGCUGUGUCCACCCCACCCCUCGAUGCCGGGGGUCCAGGUGCCCAGGGCUCCCUG
rnacentral:lncRNA from 10 species